rnacentral:lncRNA from 1 species
UAUUCAAUUUCAUAAAUUAAAACAACAAAUUAUAUAGAGAGUUACAAUUUCAUCAACCAUGUAUUACACCUCAUUUGCUACUUCACUCACCCUCCCUUUCUUCGAAUCUUCAAACAAGAAAUCUAGAUUAUAAAGCACUGGAACCAUUACGAGAGAGCAUAGUAACACGAGCAAAGGCCCAAAUAUCCAAAGCACAACUGGAAGUGCUAAGUAAAAAAGCCGGUUUCCUAUUGCGUUAAGUGAAAAACUCUUCUCUAAAAGCUCGGAUACAUACAUUGAAGUCACUAUUGUUGAAUCUUGUGGGCAGUUGAUCAGGUAAUUCACUUGGCUUAUGAAUCUAAUUGAUAGAGAAUAGCACAUAAAAGAGAAGAGAAAUAUAACAAGGAGUGUCACGUACUUCAACGCCACCAUGAAUUCUCCAUGUGCCCCAUAAAUUGUGUCCUCAAGGGGUUUUUUAACACUAUAAGUACUACUGAUAACCGCUGCUAAACCGGAACAUAAAAGUAUUGAUGUGGUGGCCAUUAGGGUUGAUCCCAUGAUUGUGUUUCUAAAUGUCUGAACGGCUAAGAUGUUUUUCUUUUCAUUAUCCUUCGAGAGUGGUUGAGUUCGAACCUUAUGCCAUAACCAAAGGUGAUAGCUGAUAGAUAUCAUAAACGAUAAGGGUACCAGAACUAGAUCAAGAUAAUACUUCUUGAACUCCAUCUUUCUUGUUAAGAAUUCUGAAGUUUUCGAGCUUAUGGUAUCACUAAUUAUGUCAAAUAUGCUUGUGUGUAGGUGUGCAUUUAUAGAGGGUGGGUUGCAUCUUCGGAGAAGUUACCAAACACAUUUAGAAUAAUACUUUGUACUCAACUAACUUUAAUUAGCCUAGAAAAUAUUUUUAUUAUAGUUACCACAAAUAUCGUGACUUUUUUUUUAAAAAAAAAAAACUUCCUACAGUCAUUACUAGAAAAUCGACUGUUUCCUAAUUAUUAUAAUUAGAAAUAACCUUUUUAAGAUAUUAUUAUUAAUAAAAAAAAGGUUUUCCUAUAUUAAUACGGCAAUUUUGAUAUUAUUUUUAGUGUCAGUUUAAAGAUUUUCAAGUUCAAGUUAUAUUGUAUAAAAUGAUAUAAAUUUUAUGUGUGUGUGUAUAUAUAUAUAUAUAUAUAUAUAUAUAAUAGUAAAAUUUGAACAAGAGAUUUAUAGAUAAUAUUAAUAUCAAGAUAAAAAAAUUUAUGCUGGCACGUAUAUUCUUUCGAAUCAUUUAUCAUAAUAAUAAUCUUCCUAUACUAAUAAAUGAAAAUCUUUUAUGGACACAUGUCACUUCCUACUGCUUUCUCACCUUAUUUUUCUAUUUAUCCCUCAUAUUAAAUAAUAAUAAUAAUAAUAAUAAUAAUAAUAAUUUUAAAUAAAAUAUUAGAUAAGAAUAAAUAUUUAGAUAAGGAUAAACAUUUGUUUUUAUUAUGAUCAUAUUAAAUAAUAAUAAUAAUAAUUCUACACAAAAUAUUAGAUAAGAAUAUAUACUUUUAUUUUUAUUAUGAUCAUAUUAAAUAAUAAUAAUUUUAAAUAAAAAAUUAGUUAAAAAUACAUAUUUAACAAAGUAAAAUGUUAUAAUAAGUAAAUAGUACAUUAAAGUUCAUUUUUAAAAGAUAAAUCUUAACAACUGUAUGUGUUAACAAAUGACAUUAUAUUUUAUUAAACACGCGCAAUAUACGAGUUUUUUAAAGAGAUAUAUUUUUUAUAAUUUAUUAUAUAAAAUUACAUUUAUACAAAAUAAAAAAACAAAAAAAAAUUAUAAUAAGUAAAUAGUACAUCAUAUCAAUGUUCAUUUUUAAAAGAUAAAUCUUGAUGACUGAUGACUGUUUGUAUUAAUAUAAGACAUUAUUUUUUUAUUAAUUUAUUAUAUAUAAUUAUAUUUAUGUAACCCGUAUAAAUACAUGAGGUUUUAACCUAAUAAUACAAAUAAGAAAGUGUUAUCCAUGUAUUAGUUAUUUAAAAAUUAAAAUAAAAAUUGUAAGAUUGAAAGAGAAAAUAACAUCCCGUUAUUUAGAAUUCUUUGUUAAAAGUUAGAUUCUUUGUCUCACUAUUGAAGUAACAUUGAUAUAAUGAAAAAUAUUAUGUCAAAUUCUAUAGUAUAUAAAUGAAUAAAUGGAACACAUGCACUAUUGUAUUGCAUUAGAAAAAGGUGUGGAAAAACUUUUUUGAAUUAACUUUCUACCACUCCUAGUCUAUUCAAUUUUAUAAUUAUUUUGUCGGUUCCAUUUUAGGGUUUUUUAAGUUUGCUUAUCUAAUAUUAUAUUGAUACAAAAAUAAGCGUUUCAAAUAGAAAACUUUAGCGUUUCAUAAUUAUUUAGUUAUAUACUAAAAAACCUAGGCUAUCAUCCGGAAAUUUCCCGGGCUAGAAAAAUUUAAUUUACAAUAAACAAAAUGUUGGCUCAUGUGAAACCUUACUUAAAAACAUAUGAUACAAAGCCAAAACUAUUUCUGCAACAACUGAUACAGAAUAAACAGUGUUUUGGAUUCUACUCCCUUCAAUUGCAAGAUAUCUAACAACUGCUGCUUCAAAGGUCUACUCAACACUAAGCACUGCUGGAUUGUAAAGACUGUUGAAGAUUAAACCACUGAAGAAGUCAAAGGACUGAUCAACCUUUACCGAAAGCACUGCUAAAGCUUCAACAGAGGUUAAGUUCAUCAGAGGAUAGCACUAACAGUGUCUUGUAAUCAGUACUUUAUUAAUGUAACAGUGUUUU